rnacentral:misc_RNA from 1 species
GAUGAAGAACGCAGCGAAAUGCGAUACUUGGUGUGAAUUGCAGAAUCCCGUGAAUCAUCGAGUCUUUGAACGCACAUUGCGCCCUCUGGUAUUCCGGAGGGCAUGCCUGUCCGAGCGUCAUUGCUGCCCUCAAGCACGGCUUGUGUGUUGGGCCCCGCCCCCCGAUCCCGGGGGGCGGGCCCGAAAGGCAGCGGCGGCACCGCGUCCGGUCCUCGAGCGUAUGGGGCUUUGUCACCCGCUCUGUAGGCCCGGCCGGCGCCUGCCGAUCAACCAAACUUUUUUCCAGGUUGACCUCGGAUCAGGUAGGGAUACCCGCUGAACUUAAGCAUAUCAAUAAGCGGAGGA